rnacentral:rRNA from 1 species
GUCCACGCCCUAAACGAUGUCGACUGGUUGUUGGGUGGGUAACCACUUAGUAACGAAGCUAACGCGUGAAGUCGACCGCCUGGGGAGUACGGUCGCAAGAUUAAAACUCAAAGGAAUUGACGGGGACCCGCACAAGCGGUGGAUGAUGUGGUUUAAUUCGAUGCAACGCGAAAACCUUACCUACACUUGACAUGUCAGAAAUCCUGCAGAGAUGUGGGAGUGCCGCAAGGAAUCUGAACACAGGUGCUGCAUGGCUGUCGU